rnacentral:lncRNA from 1 species
GUGUGUGUAAUAGAACACUCUGCCCAACAGUGGCUUAAACAAGUGAAAGGUCUUUAUAUUUUAUACAACAAGAGCUUCAAGGGUAGUAAAGUAUUGACAUGAGAAAUCAACACAUGUUCUGCAUUCUUGGCAUGUGGACUUUAUCCUUCCAGCCGCAACUCAAAUGACCCAAAGUCAGACAUCACAUCCACAUUUCAGGUUUAUUCAAGGAAUUGAGAUGUUUUCCAUGUUGUUUCUUCAAGAACUGCAAAGAUUCCAAGAUUUUUACCUUCCCUGCAAGCUAAACAAGUUGGCUUAACAUGGUUUGAGAGAUACUGGGACAAGACAGGAGACCUUUGAGUUGGAAACAAAAGACAAUGUGUUACCAGCAACAACAGG